rnacentral:rRNA from 1 species
GAUGAACGCUGGCGGCGUGCCUAACACAUGCAAGUCGAGCGAACCUUUCGGGGUGAGCGGCGGACGGGUGAGUAACGCGUGGGUAACCUGCCCUAUACACACGGAUAACGUACCGAAAGGUACGCUAAUACGGGAUAAAGUUGUUGGAUGGCAUCUUCUAACAAUCAAAGCUCCGGCGGUAUAGGAUGGACCCGCGUCUGAUUAGCUAGUUGGUGAGGUAAUGGCUCACCAAGGCGACGAUCAGUAGCCGACCUGAGAGGGUGAUCGGCCACACUGGAACUGAGACACGGUCCAGACUCCUACGGGAGGCAGCAGUGGGGAAUAUUGCACAAUGGGCGAAAGCCUGAUGCAGCAACGCCGCGUGAGCGAUGAAGGUCUUCGGAUCGUAAAGCUCUGUCCUCAAGGAAGAUAAUGACGGUACUUGAGGAGGAAGCCCCGGCUAACUACGUGCCAGCAGCCGCCGUAA